AUUGAACGCUGGCGGCAGGCCUAACACAUGCAAGUCGAGCGGAUGAAGGGAGCUUGCUCCUGGAUUCAGCGGCGGACGGGUGAGUAAUGCCUAGGAAUCUGCCUGGUCGUGGGGGAUAACGUCCGGAAACGGGCGCUAAUACCGCAUACGUCCUGAGGGAGAAAGUGGGGGAUCUUCGGACCUCACGCUAUCAGAUGAGCCUAGGUCGGAUUAGCUAGUUGGUGGGGUAAAGGCCUACCAAGGCGACGAUCCGUAACUGGUCUGAGAGGAUGAUCAGUCACACUGGAACUGAGACACGGUCCAGACUCCUACGGGAGGCAGCAGUGGGGAAUAUUGGACAAUGGGCGAAAGCCUGAUCCAGCCAUGCCGCGUGUGUGAAGAAGGCCUUCGGAUUGUAAAGCACUUUAAGUUGGGAGGAAGGGCAGUAAGUUAAUACCUUGCUGUUUUGACGUUACCAACAGAAUAAGCACCGGCUAACUUCGUG
rnacentral:rRNA from 1 species